rnacentral:rRNA from 1 species
UGCCAGACUCCUACGGGAGGCAGCAGUGGGGGAUAUUGCACAAUGGGGGAAACCCUGAUGCAGCGACGCCGCGUGGACGAAGAAGUAUUUCGGUAUGUAAAGUCCUAUCAGCAGGGAAGAAGAAAUGACGGUACCUGACUAAGAAGCCCCGGCUAACUACGUGCCAGCAGCCGCGGUAAUACGUAGGGGGCAAGCGUUAUCCGGAUUUACUGGGUGUAAAGGGAGCGCAGGCGGCAGCGCAAGUCUGAUGUGAAAGCCCGGGGCCCAACCGCGGGACUGCAUUGGAAACUGCGCAGCUGGAGUGCCGGAGGGGUAAGCGGAAUUCCUAGUGUAGCGGUGAAAUGCGUAGAUAUUAGGAGGAACACCAGUGGCGAAGGCGGCUUACUGGACGGCAACUGACGCUGAGGCUCGAAAGCGUGGGGAGCAAACAGGAUUAGAUACCCCUGUAC